GUGCUCAAUUUGGCUGCACAUACACUAAAAUUGGAACAUACAGAGAAGAUUAGCAUGGUCCCUGCACAAGGAUGACACGCAAAUUAAUGAAUCGUUCCAUAUUUUU